AAUCUUCCGCAAUGGGCGAAAGCCUGACGGAGCAACGCCGCGUGAGUGAUGAAGGUCUUCGGAUCGUAAAACUCUGUUAUUAGGGAAGAACAUAUGUGUAAGUAACUGUGCACAUCUUGACGGUACCUAAUCAGAAAGCCACGGCUAACUACGUGCCAGCAGCCGCGGUAAUACGUAGGUGGCAAGCGUUAUCCGGAAUUAUUGGGCGUAAAGCGCGCGUAGGCGGUUUUUUAAGUCUGAUGUGAAAGCCCACGGCUCAACCGUGGAGGGUCAUUGGAAACUGGAAAACUUGAGUGCAGAAGAGGAAAGUGGAAUUCCAUGUGUAGCGGUGAAAUGCGCAGAGAUAUGGAGGAACACCAGUGGCGAAGGCGACUUUCUGGUCUGUAACUGACGCUGAUGUGCGAAAGCGUGGGGAUCAAACAGGAUUAGAUACCCUGGUAGUCCACGCCGUAAACGAUGAGU
rnacentral:rRNA from 1 species